GGGCUUGAACUCACAGACUGUGAGAUCAUGACCUAAGCCGAAGUGAGACACUUAGUCGACUGAGCUACCCCGGCGCCCCAAUUUGAAAGAUACAAAUGAG